rnacentral:tRNA from 1 species
CCCGCGAUAGCUCAGUUGGUAGAGCGGAGGACUGUAGAUCCUUAGGUCGCUGGUUCGAAUCCGGCUCGCGGGA